rnacentral:rRNA from 1 species
GACGAACGCUGGCGGCGUGCCUAAUACAUGCCAGUAGAACGCUGAAGGAGGAGCUUGCUCUUCUGGAUGAGUUGCGAACGGGUGAGUAACGCGUAGGUAACCUGCCUGGUAGCGGGGGAUAACUAUUGGAAACGAUAGCUAAUACCGCAUAAGAGUAGAUGUUGCAUGACAUUUACUUAAAAGGUGCAAUUGCAUCACUACCGGAUGGACCUGCGUUGUAUUAGCUAGUUGGUGGGGUAACGGCUUACCAAGGCGACGAUACAUAGCCGACCUGAGAGGGUGAUCGGCCACACUGGGACUGAGACACGGCCCAGACUCCUACGGGAGGCAGCAGUAGGGAAUCUUCGGCAAUGGACGGAAGUCUGACCGAGCAACGCCGCGUGAGUGAAGAAGGUUUUCGGAUCGUAAAGCUCUGUUGUAAGAGAAGAACGAGUGUGAGAGUGGAAAGUUCACACUGUGACGGUAUCUUACCAGAAAGGGACGGCUAACUACGUG